rnacentral:rRNA from 1 species
UGGGGAAUAUUGCGCAAUGGGCGAAAGCCUGACGCAGCAAUGCCGCGUGAGUGAGGAAGGUUUUCGGAUUGUAAAGCUCUGUCAGGAUGGAAAAACGGCUUAGAGUCUAAUAGGCUUUAAGUUUGAUGGUACAUCCAAAGGAAGCACCGGCUAACUUCGUGCCAGCAGCCGCGGUAAUACGAAGGGUGCAAGCGUUGUUCGGAUUUAUUGGGCGUAAAGCGUACGCAGGCGGAUAGGUAAGUCAGAUGUGAAAUCCCAGAGCUCAACUUUGGAACUGCGUCUGAAACUGUUUAUCUAGAGUCUUAGAGGGGGAAGGGGAAUUUCGCAUGUAGGGGUAAAAUCCGUAGAGAUGCGAAGGAACACCUGGAGUGAAGACGCCUUCCUGGAAAAGUACUGACGCUGAGGUACGAAAGCGUGGGGAGCAAACAGG